CCUACGGGCGGCUGCAGUGGGGAAUUUUGGACAAUGGGGGCAACCCUGAUCCAGCCAUGCCGCGUGAGUGAAGAAGGCCUUCGGGUUGUAAAGCUCUUUCGGCCGGGAAGAAAUCGCUCAAGCUAAUACCUUGGGUGGAUGACGGUACCGGAAGAAGAAGCACCGGCUAACUACGUGCCAGCAGCCGCGGUAAUACGUAGGGUGCGAGCGUUCAUCGGAAUUACUGGGCGGAAGGCGUGCGCAGGCGGCGAAAUCCCCGGGCUUAACCUGGGGACUGCGUUUGUGACUGUGGUGCUCGGGUGCGGCAGAGGGGGGUGGAAUUCCACGUGUAGCAGUGAAAUGCGUAGAGAUGUGGAGGAACACCGAUGGCGAAGGCAGCCCCCUGGGUCGACACUGACGCUCAUGCACGAAAGCGUGGGGCGCAAACAGGCUUAGCUACCCUUGUCGUCC
rnacentral:rRNA from 1 species